GGUUCUAUUGAACGUUUCUUUUGGGUAUGAUGUCACAUUUUCCCCUGGGAGGCAGGACAUCCCAGCGUAGCCAAUGAGAGAGAUGCAUGAUGGAACUAUCUUCUGCUCCGUACAAUAUAAAAAGAUAAGAGGAGAGUGUCCCGGAGAGUUGUCUGCUUGUUUCCCAAAGACCAACUCCUCCCGAGAGCCACCAUGUCUUGGGUUCUUCUCUUCUUGGUGCUCCUUCGUUACUGGGCAGGUGCCCAUUCACUGCCAACGGUGACUCAGCCAGCCUCUGUUUCGGCUUCUCUGGGAAACAGCAUCCAACUCUCCUGUUCUUCGAGCAGCAGCACCGGCAGCUGGGAUGGCGUUUUUCGCUGGGUUCAACAAAUAUCAGGAGAGGUCCCUCGCUUUGUCCACUGCAAUGGCUGCAGCAGGGGACCAGGGAUCUCAGAUCGGUUCACGGCAACUGCGUCUGGGAACACGGGCACUUUAACCAUCACAAAUGUCCAGGCUGAAGACGAGGCUGAUUAUAUCUGUGUGGGUUGGUACGGCAUUGGGAGCUCGUAUCAGUACACAGUGGCCCAUUCUCAUGGGGAAGUGAGACCAAAACCUUUGCUCCUCUCCAGAGUGGUGCACUGAGGCUCCUUGAAGACGUUCAUUAUCCUCAGCCUUUGA